UCCAGGAACAAUGUUUUUGACAUUGUGUGAUCAAAGCUGUGAUCAACUGGGAAUUCCAGAUUUCCCAAGUUGUGUUCAGGAGUUGCUGAGUUGACGGGUGCAAGGCCAGCAGCUCUACAAUAGCGGUUAUGAAUGUGGAGAUGCAAGUGGUGUCCUGAAACUCUACAAAGUAUCAAUUACUAAAGCACUAGUGAAUAGAAGAUGAAUGCAACCCUAAGAGUCAUACUUGGAGUAGACAACGCAUUCCUCCCCUGAAUCGACGUCUUCAGGGUCAUCCCUUAGGUCUCAGCUAUGGCCCCAAACCUUCCCGAUACCUCAGUUCAGUUAUGGGGAAGAGGUUCAAGCAGGAGAAGGCCAUUCAUGUCUUUCAUAACAGCGGCACUUUUCUGAAUCCAAGCACCAAACUCAAGUCUGAUAUCUUAGAGGGUUUGGCAUCAGAAAUGAUCAAAUACAAAAUAUAUCCCUUGGAUGAAGACUUUGAUCAUGUGGCUCUGGCUCUAAUAACAAAACAUCCCUGUUUAAAGGAGCAAGGAUCGGUCUCAGGUCAUUACGGGUGGAAAGUACAAAAUGGCCAACUACCGCUCUAGACUGCGGAACAUUGGGUGUCCAGAAUUAAGCAUAAAUGCCACCAAAGAAAAAUGCGGGACAACAGGCAAAGGUCCCAACCAAGUGAAGAAGCCACGGAAAGCAGAGGCUUUCCGUGGCUUUAAUUACUGUCCUGAUUAUCCCAUAGGGAAAACAAAAGCAAGUCUUGAGCUGGAAAGACAAACGCUGUUGUUGGAGGUAAAGAAAAAGAACCAACCACUGAUCAAGGCUGCCUUCAGCAGACAGGAAAUCAUUCAGGACAUGCCCUUCAUCACCGAGUUCCGAGACAGAUGGCCAGCUCUGUUUUCUGAGAGCGAGGUAAUGUAACUGUAACCCACCUAAAAAUUUCUAUCUUGAAAUUUAAAAAAAAAAAUAGUUCAUAUGUUUUGCACAUGUUUAAGAGUUCAUUUUAAUAAAUUAGUAUAGCUUUGUUAAGUAUAAAAUAUGUGGGACAUUCCAUGUGGGUAGAAUAAUAUUUAGUAAAUAAUCCAGAUGGUAUGAGUUUCCUAUUGCACUGUUUCAGACCUAAAAUUCCUGGUAAAGUCAUUGAUUUCUUUUCAUUAUGAGCUGUUGUUAUUUUCGACAAUUUUGCAGCAGUGAUGGAACGGUUGGUGAUAAAUUCCUCUAGGUGGCAGCAGGACUGCGCUGUACACGUUCUUUUCCAUGCUGGCUGUAGAGGCAGAUAGACGUAAUGGUAGUUCUCUGUAAAGCAAGGAAAACGGGAUCCAAACCGGGGACUUUCCAGCGUAUUGUCUGAAAUGUAUACUUUGUGUAAUAGGUAAGCUCAUAUACAUCAAUUUUUCUAUCCUGUAUAAUUUGUUUAAGGUUUAAACACUACGGUUUAGUUUUAGUCACAGUGAAUGUUGCCGCACUGUUGAUUUCAGAUAACGUGUGUGUUCAUA